GUCACCGCCGCCCGGUCCCCGCCGCCAUUGGAGUUGGAGGGUCUCUCGCUCCAUCCCGGCUCGGGGCCAGCGCGGGGGGACAGGCCGCGGGGCGCGGAGCGAGGGCGGGCGGGGAUGUGAGGAGAAGGGCCGGCAGGGCGAGCAGCGACCGGACCGACCCCCCCCCCCGUCCCUCCCUCUUCCCCGGGGGGGCCUAGCCUGAGGAGGGACCCCCCCCCACAUACACAGGCCGACCCGGCCCCUCCCCCGGGGCCCCGUCCGGAGCGCCCCUCGCAGGCCCAGCGGACAGGCGCUUCCCUCCCCCUCCCCCGCGCCCAGGAGGGGCCCCGCGUUCUCGCCGUGCGCCUCCCCGCUGCGCGGAGGGGCCCGGGCCCUGCCCCUCCCCCAGCUCCCUGCUGACCGCGGCGGCCCCGUACAUGAAGGAUGUCGGCCACCAGCGUUGACCCCCAGCGACCGAAAGGACAAGAUAAUAAAGUACAAAAUGGUUCAUUGCAUCAGAAGGACACAGUUCAUGACAACGAUUUUGAACCUUACCUUUCUGGACAGUCAAAUCAGAAUAAUAGCUAUCCAUCAAUGACUGAUCCCUAUUUGUCCAGUUAUUAUCCACCAUCUAUUGGGUUUCCCUAUUCUCUCAGUGAAGCACCGUGGUCUACCGGAGGAGAUCCUCCUAUCCCAUACCUCACCACCUAUGGACAGCUCAGUAAUGGAGACCAUCAUUUUAUGCAUGAUGCUGUUUUUGGACAGCCUGGGGGUCUGGGAAACAACAUCUACCAACACAGAUUUAAUUUUUUCCCUGAAAAUCCUGCUUUCUCAGCUUGGGGAACAAGUGGGUCCCAAGGACAGCAGACUCAAAGUUCAGCUUAUGGGAGCAGUUACAGCUACCCACCUAGCUCACUGGGUGGUACUAUUGUGGAUGGACAAACAGGAUUUCAUAAUGAUACUUUGAAUAAAGCACCUGGAAUGAAUAGUAUUGAACAAGGAAUGGUUGGACUUAAGAUUGGUGGAGAUGUAACAACUUCUGCUGUGAAAACAGUAGGUUCUGUUGUUAACAGCGCCGGAAUGACGGGUGCUCUCUCUGGUAAUGGUGGAUCCAGUGUAAACUUGCCAGUAUCUAAACCAACCUCUUGGGCUGCUAUUGCCAGCAAGCCUGCAAAACCACAGCCGAAAAUGAAAACAAAAAGUGGGCCUGUAAUUGGAGGAGCUUUGCCUCCACCACCUAUAAAACAUAAUAUGGACAUAGGUACUUGGGAUAAUAAGGGUCCUGUGGCAAAAGUUCCUGCUCCCCAGCAAAUCCCAUCUCCUCAGUCUGUCCCACAGCCACAGCAACAAAUGGUUCAGCCUAUUCCAGCUCAACCUCCUCCAUUGACCCAGCCGCAGUAUCAAAGUCCUCAGCAGCCACCCCAAAACCGCUGGGUGGCUCCCCGCAACAGAAAUGCAGCUUUUGGCCAAAGUGGAGGAACUGGUAAUGAUAGCAACUCAACUGGCAGUACCCAGCCUAACUCUGUCCCAAGUGGUGAAUCCCAUCCCGUUCUUGAAAAACUGAAAGCUGCUCAUAGCUAUAACCCGAAAGAUUUUGAAUGGAAUCUUAAAAAUGGACGUGUGUUCAUAAUAAAGAGCUAUUCUGAGGAUGAUAUUCAUCGUUCCAUUAAAUAUUCUAUUUGGUGUAGCACAGAACAUGGCAACAAACGCUUGGACAGCGCUUUCCGAUCCAUGAAUAGUAAGGGCCCAGUCUACUUACUAUUCAGUGUUAAUGGUAGUGGACAUUUCUGUGGAGUAGCAGAAAUGAAAUCACCUGUGGACUAUGGCACUAGUGCUGGCGUCUGGUCUCAGGACAAAUGGAAGGGGAAAUUUGAUGUCAAAUGGAUCUUUGUGAAGGAUGUGCCCAACAACCAACUCCGACACAUCAGGCUGGAGAACAAUGACAACAAACCAGUUACAAACUCCCGUGACACACAGGAGGUUCCCUUAGAAAAAGCAAAACAAGUGCUUAAAAUUAUUGCUACUUACAAGCACACAACCUCCAUCUUUGAUGACUUUUCCCAUUAUGAAAAGCGCCAAGAAGAGGAGGAGGUGGUGCGGAAGCUCCCAGUCAGUUUCUCAACUUUGAAUGAGCUAGUCAUUGAAUUGAUCUAGUUUAAAAACAAAUGAAGAAAAUACUUUCUCUGCACCUCCAGAUGAGACUGCCAUUGUCAAAAGCUGGUUUAGCACUUCAAGAAACUCUGGUUCCAGGUGCUCAGCUUGUGGCUUCCAGUUCAAUGGAACGGCAGAAUCGAAACAAACAAUAAGAAUAAAUGUACACAAUUUGCUAUAUAUAAUAGAACUGAUAUUAAAUUCGACUAUGAAAAACAAAUCUUAAAAUGUAUUCUGGUGCUAUAUCCUGGCAUCAGGACAAACUAAAGCUUUCAGCUCCAAUAUAUCUUCUUGUGCAGGGGGAAUUAAGUUGUUGCCUCUUUAAGUACAUUGUAGUUUGUUUUUUGCCCAGGUGGAUCUGCAUUAAUUUGUAUCUUUUCUAUGUAAAAUGCUAUAGAAUCCAUUAAUAAAGGUGUAUCUGUUUUUAUUUUUUAAGGUAGUAAACAAUUAUACUGACCUAAUAUGGAACUAUAAAUGAGCAUUCUAAAAAUGUCAGUGUUUCCCAAAGACUCUAUUUUGGCACAAAUUAUGUUCCUGUUCUGAUUGAUAUUCAUCAUAAUUUUGUAUAUGGCAGAAUUUCUCUCCUCUUCACCCCAAACCCUGUUUGUUCAUGGCAAUCAUAAGAAACCAUUGAGUUUUGUCACUUUAAGAAUGUUGUUUAAGAGAAAUACUGCAUUCAGAAUAUUGAAGUAAAAAAUUCAAGUUAAGAUCACUUUUUAAUUGUAAAAUUAUACUUUUAAAAAUGCUAACAUGCCACUUUGAUUUUUUCUAUCUCAAAGAAAAUCAAAUUCUGUCAGUGAAAUUUUCACUCUGAAAAUAUUUCCCUUUCACAUUCUGUUAACCAGUGCUUCAGUGUGUAUUUGUUAUACCCAUAUCCUGCAGAGAGUUAGUGAGAUGCUUUCUCUCAGCCAUAAUUCUGCUUUAUUGUUUUUGUAGCUUAAUAAAUAAUAAUGUAAAUGCUAUCAACAUUGCAGGGUUUUUGGACAAUGUGUUGAAACCUGUUUCAGCUUUCAGGUGUUAUUAGUUAAUUGCAGAUCAUUUUUAAUCUUUCCCUUUCUUUUCCCCCCCAGAUCCCAAUGCCAUUUAAAGUUUUUAUACCAAUAAUGCUGAGCUUUAAUGUAGAAACUAAUAGUAUGGACAAUAUGAUGGAUUAUGCCUCAGAUGUUUAAAAUUGACUGUGUAUGUCUAAUUUUUUUUCUGUUGGAUGAGUAAAAAAAAUGUUUUAAGAAACUGAA